GUGAAGAGCUUUGUCUGAAGCAGGACAGUGGAAAUCUUUCUGAGAUGAAGGAACACUUUCUGGGAAGGCUUCAGCUUGAAUCUCUCUCUCAUCUUGCCUUCCAGAGCUUGGGCUCCCUUGGAUGUUCGUGUAUGUCCCUGUGAGAAGUUGCCAUAGAGUCCUGAAGGAAAAGCUUGGGGAGUUUUCUCCUCCAACAUAUAACCACUUUCAGCUAAAUAUUUGGUGCAACUGGACCAUAUGGGCAGGCUCCAGAAAACACAUCAUCAUUUAUAUCAAAGGAUUUAUGACCGAUGAGGACUGUGACAAAAAUGAGGAUAAAAUCCUAUUUCAAGGAGUCUCUUCAUUAGUAGGGAACACUGUCAUCUAUGCUUGUUGGAACAAGAAGAUUCAUGUCUUUGCCACCUAUGCCCGGGCUGUCCAUGUAGUAUUUCUGAUGAAGUAUUCUUCAAACCCUAAAAACAAAUACUUUAAAGGAAAGUAUUAUAUAUUCAAACACCGUGACAUUGACUCCUCUUCUGAAGAUAUCUUAGUUUCUGGACCCCCUAUUCCAAAAUCAAAGAGAACUAGUCACAGCACUCCCAGAUUUAACAAAGUAUCAGUAAUAUACCAUGGAGAGAUUUCAGAUAAUACAAACAUUAGUACAGCUUCAAAUACUGAGAAUCUUAACAAGACAACUGUACUUAAUAACACAGGGUUAUUACAGGUAGGGGGUGAAAGUCAAAAUGUCACAGUUCUUGAAAAUUCUCUUCAGCUUAUACCUCAGCAUGGUGCAAGGAUUCAACCUUUCAAACCAGAAGCUCAGAGCUUGCUGGAGUCUCUCAAUUUGUCUACAACAUCGAUGGACAAAGAAAAGAGUCUUGGCAUAGGAAAGUCUUUUGGAAUGCUACCCCAAACUGCAGCACCUGAUAUCAGGGAGCUGAGACCCUCAGAGAGUGAAGAGGUCCUGGUGGACUUUAGCAAGAUGUACAGGCCAAAAAGUCUUCCAGGCUUUCUUUCUGAGACUCCUUACUUAAGUGUUUCUCAUCUAACUGACCCCUUGAAAUCUAUGGAGUUAGAAGGACUAGAGAGCCAAAUGUCCUUCAUACUCACUAGUUUGAAGCAAACUAAUAUGGGAGAUUUACAACUGAAAAUAAAUCCAACACCUCUGAGUUACCCUGUCCUGGACUCGUAUUUGCAUUCCCUAGCCCAUGACAGAGUAGAAACCAUAGGAGACAAUGAGAUUGGCUCUACCCCUUCCCAAAGUCUCAGCAUGGUUACCUUGGUGAAUGAUGAAAAUCCUUUGCAGUCAAACAUCUUGGCUUAUAAAGUGAUGAGCAAUCACAGUGAUAGCCUUGUGAAAGGUUCAUUGCCUAGCCUCAGAAUGACCAAUCCGGAUCAAGUGGUGCUUGGUGAUCAGUCACAGCCUGAGACAAGGGGAAUGGAUAAAGCUGGAAGUUACCAAAUAAGUUUGACUCAGAGGGUCAGUGGAGAUAAGUCUGUAACUGAACUGGAUCUGAGAACAACGAACCUCAAAACUAUUGACCCUCUUGAUGUUUCUGUUCCGGAAAGUUCUAUGGAAGUCAUUGACCAGCCAGAAAUCACGUUGGUUACUGCAGCACCAUAUGGUUUGUCAGACAGUGAGCGCCACUUGAGGCUCCAAAGCAGUCAACAUGUGGAUUCAGCUUCUAUAGAACUAGAAAGCAUCCUUCCAAGUACAGAAGCGUCCCUGCAUCUCACUGCUGAGGUAAAUGUGUCAGAGAUGCUCUAUUUGGGCAUGAAAAGCAGCCAACAGGUGGGCCUGGUUACAGGACUGGAGUCACUUCCAAGUACAGACGUUUCUCUUCCUCCAGCUGCCUCAGAACUAAUGCUCACUCCAAGUACAGAAACCUCCCUUCCUGUCCUUCUCACGGAACUGGAGCCAGUCAUCCCCUUCCCACAUACAGAACCAUCCCUUUCUCCAACUGCCUCAGAACUGGGCCCUCUCCUCUUCCCAAGCCCAGAAGUGUCCCUUUCUGUGUUUCCCACAGAAACAGAGCCUGUCACCUCAGCACUGGAGCCUGUCAUCCCUUUCCUAAGUACAGAACCAUCCCUUCCUCCAGCUGCCUCAGAACUGAGACCUGUCCCCUUCCCAGGGACAGAAGUGACCUUUCCUCUGACUGCUGUGGAACUGGAGCCUGUCAUCCCAAGUAGAGAAGCAUCUCUUCCUCCAACUGCACUUAAAAAUGAGCUCCAUUUGAGAACAAAAAGCAACCACUACAUUGACGCUGACACAGAGCUAGAUCAUAUCCCUCUAAGUACAACUGUGCUGCUUCAUCCAGCUGCUCAGGAGGAGGACCUGUUGGAAGGCAAGCCUCCCUCAAAGCCACACAGUGACUGCUAUGGGGCUCCAGCUGCUACUGAACACAGACAUGCCCUCCCAAGUACAACACAGUCUCUUAAUUUCUUUCUUCAAGAAAAGAAAAUAGGUGUCCAACAAUCAAUGCUAAAAGGUGAGAGAAAGGAGAGCAUCCAUGAGGCAGAAACUGCACAACCUGGAAAGGCUGGUGAAAGGAACUUAAUCACAAACUUCAUCAUUGGCAACUUCUUCUCAGACACCACUCAGCUGCAAGCCUUAAAACCAGAACCUGAGCUUGGACGUCUUAGAUCUGAGGGCCAUACAAGUAAAGUUUCUCCAGUAACUGAGUACCUCUCUAAAACACCGUUAUUGGUAACAAGGAUGGAUAGAGUAAAGCAAAAUGAGCUAAUGUUUAAAAAUGGUCUUAUGACCUCUAACACGAGGGCUACUCCACCUCUGGAGCACAUAGCCAUGAAUACUCAAGUUAAAUUGACUGAUCCCGUAAAGGAGAUCAGUAACAUAACACUGAAACAAAUAUUCCCAGAUACCACACAACCUCAUGAAGUGCAGCAAACCACUGAGUGGAGCAGUGCCUCUCAGAGCUCUGCUAGUGCGUAUAGUAAUGCUCUGACUCCAGCUAAGAAACUGGCANGUCCAGCUAAGAAACUGGCUCUGAAAGAGAGCAUAGCUUCACAUCCUGUCCAAUCGUCUUCUGCUCGCGCACCUGAGAAUGCGUCAACUUCAGAAGCAAGACUCCUCCUGAACUACAUUGUGCCAAAAUUACCUUGGUUGUUGCUGUAUCUUCCUGUAAGAAGUUGCCACGUCACCUUGAAAGAUGAAAUUGGGACAUUUUCCCCACCGGCACAUAGUGGUAUUCAAACCAACAUCUGGUGCAACUGGACCAUUUGGGCAGGCCCCCAAAAACACAUCUUGAUUUACAUAAAGGGAUUUCAGGGGAAGGAAGAUUGUGAUGAAAACCCAGAUAAAAUAAUUUUUCAAGGGGUCUUGUCAAGUGUAGAAAGAAAAGUAGUCUAUGCUUGUAAGAACCAAGGUACUCUGAUCUUUGCUACUCAAGCUUUGGCUGUCCAUGUUGUGUUUCUGUCCAAGGGCAAUUCCUUAAACCGUGAACGCAAAUAUUUCAAAGGACAGUAUUAUGUGUUCAAAGACUAUGAAACUUCAAGAUCUACUGCAGCUCCUCAAGAGCCAGUUCAGAAAACAACUAGGAGAACUAAGCAUGGCAGUAUCCGAUUCUACCCUAAAUCACCCAUAAAACACUACAGAGGUCUUCUGGAUUUUGUAAAGACCAGCACAGCUCAUAAUGAAAAUCAACAGCUUAACAAGCUUCCUAUGUUAGACAAAGAAGGUUGGCACAAAAAUGGAAGCUCAACAAGACUAGAAACUUUAAGAUUUGUUCUUGGGAACAACACACACAUCCCUCUAUUAAAAGCCAUGGACAACAUGACCUUCAGCAAUCAUGAUCUGAAGUGGCAGCAGUUUAUGAAAUCUUUGGAUAAUGAAAACAGUAGGGAAGAAAAACGUUCGGACUUUCUAAUGGUAACCCCAGCAUUAAAUAUAUUGAGGCUAAACAUCCAAAAUGAGAGAGAGCAAACUAUUGCUUUCAGUAAACUUAUGGACAGGCCAACAAUCCACUCAAACCUGGUCUCUGAGACUCUGCAUUUAAAGAAGCCCAUUAAAUCUGUGGAGAUGCCAAGUGUCAAAACAACCAAGUCAGUAGGACCCCAGCACAGCUCAGUUGCUCUCUGGAGACCAGCUACUAUGGAAGACCUACAGACAGAGGCAAUUCAAGCUGUGCAUAGAGAUCCUACUCCUCAUCAUGUCUUGCAAUCUCUGCAGGGCACAUGGGAAAAGCAGAACAUUCGAAUGACCUCUUCUCAAAGCUUUAGAGCUGCACCGAUCAAAGACAGAGAGGUUCUCCAGUCAAACCAUGUGAAUGAUGAGAGUGUGGCCAGUCAUCCUGCUGCUUUUGUGGAAGACUUCCAGUCUAAUGCAGGGCUGAGCAGGGACAGUCAAGAAGUAACUGGUCUGGUACAGUAUGUGAUGAACUUGGAGAGAAGCAUUCAAGAAAGUCAUAGUGAACAUCAAACACACAUAAAGGGAAAUGACAAAGGUGGUCUGUACAUGAAGCCAGCUUCUGCCCUCAAAAAUGUUAAACUUAAUGUUGAGCCUCUUAUUUUGGGAACUCCUAAGAAAGGUCUCAAAACAGAGUCCAUCCUGGUUACUGUAGCUCUACCCAACAUGCUGGAUGUCUCUAGCAGUUACCGUGCAGAGACCACUGCUACUGAAUUCAAACCUGUUCUCCUGAGCAGCACCAGAAAUGGCCCGUUGGGAAAGACAGCUGCUGCUGCACACCUUGGCACUCCAGGAACCCAAGACACAGAACCUCCACUGAUCAUGAGCACAAAAUCACCUCCUUCCUAUGCUGCUUCUGGUGGAGUAUCAAAGGACACUGCAUCCUUGAAAAUAGAACAUGAACAAGAUUCCUUUGGUAAGUAGUUGCUCUAAUCAAACUUUANCCACUGAUCAUGAGCACAAAAUCACCUCCUUCCUAUGCUGCUUCUGGUGGAGUAUCAAAGGACACUGCAUCCUUGAAAAUAGAACAUGAAAAAGAUUCCUUUGGUAAGUAGUUGUUCUAAUCAAACUUUGAUUAAAUUAUCUACUUGGAUUGGCAGAUAUAUGGUCAUGUU
ensembl:lncRNA